GUUUUGACUACAUAGCUCGGUUGGUUAGAGUGUGGUGCUGAUAACGCCAAGGUUGCAGGUUCGAUCAGUGUAUGGGACA